CGAGUAAAGAUAAAAAGCAGCAAGCUAAACCUCAAAUUCCGAAAGAUAAAUCGAAAGUGGCAGGCUAUAUUGAAAUUCCAGAUGCUGAUAUUAAAGAACCAGUAUAUCCAGGACCAGCAACACCUGAACAAUUAAAUAGAGGUGUAAGCUUUGCAGAAGAAAACGAAUCACUAGAU
rnacentral:sRNA from 1 species